GGGGGGGGGGGGGGGCGGGGUUGGCGCGGGGAGGUGGGGCGGUGGAGGGGGCUGCGGGGGGGGGCGCGGGGUGGGUGGCGAAGGGGUGGGUAACACGUGAGUGACCUGCGCCCGUCGUCUGGAUGACCGCAUGAAAGGGUGGGUAAGACGGGGUAUUCGGGGUCUGUCGCAUGAUGGGUCCGGGAAAGAUUGCGCCUUUGGGGGUUUUGGGUGGGGGGUGGGAUCGCGGCCUAUCAGCGUGUUGGUGGGGUGAUGGCCGACCAAGGCGGUGACGGGUAGCCGGCCUGAGAGGGUGGACGGUCACACUGGGACUGAGACACGGCCCAGACUCCUACGGGAGGCAGCAGUGGGGAAUAUUGCACAAUGGGCGCAAGCCUGAUGCAGCGACGCCGCGUGAGGGAGGGAGGCCUUCGGGUUGUAAACCUCUUUCGCCAGUGAAGCAGGCCUGCUCCUUGUGGGUGGGUUGACGGUAGCUGGAUAAGAAGCGCCGGCUAACUACGUG
rnacentral:rRNA from 1 species